rnacentral:lncRNA from 1 species
GGGGGUACCAAACGACUCCUCGCAUACCAACGAGAGAAUCACCGUUUAAUCUGGUUUAUGGAAUGGAAGCAAUGAUCUCACUCAAAAUCAGAUUGCCAUUAAUAAGGGUGGAACAAUAUAGUGAGCCGAGUAAUUUCGAAUGUCAGAGAGUCGAUUUAGAUCUACUACCAGAAGUUUGAUAGCAAGCUCAAGUUCGGAUGGUAGCAGAUCAGCAAAGGAUAGUUCGGUAUUAUAAUGCGAAAGUCAAAUUGAAGGUCUUCCAUCCAAGAGAUCUAAUCUUAAGAAAAAUAGA